UAUUUGGAAAAAAAUUAUGGUUCUGAAAAGAACCGAUUUGUGUUUGAUUAAGUAUGUUCCUACUUAAUACUGUUUUGGGUUUAGGUGCUUUUGCAUUGAGCCUAGUUUAUUUGAUUUCUUGGUUUGUUCUGUGAUUACAACCAUCGACAAGAGACUAUUUUGUCUGCUGUUUUAGAUUUUUCCACUCGAUUGAAUUUUUCCAAAAAUAUUUUCAGCUGCUUUCAGGUUCCCGAGUGGAGAGUCUUACCACUGAAAUUGUGGAUUGGAUGGCCAGGGGCAGUCUGGAUAAAACUGGUAUUUGAGAGCACGUGGAAACGUGGAAAAGGUUGUAAUGCACUGUCUGUAAUGCACAACAUGGCGUAACCUGUUUCGGAUAGAGUUUAUAUGAACUUUUCUUUUUAAAUGCGUCAACGAUAUAAUUUUAUUGGACAAUAUUAAUAUAAUUUCUAUAUUACUCAAAAAAAUUUAUCCGGAGCUAACAGUUCCCACCCUAUGAAAUUCAAACAAUUAAAAUACAAUCAUCCUUUACCCCUGUGCUGCUUGGCGAUAACGCCAAAGCUCUCAGAAUUUCUGAAAAGCUGCAAAGCUUAUAAUUGAUUGGUUAUUGGCAUAAACAAAUUAUUAUAUGCUAUUACACAAAUCUUGAUUUUUUAAACUAUCUAUAUGAUUGUAGAUUUAUUAGUUACUAGAAUACUGUCUUUCUAAGCAAGACAAAAUUUAAAUUUUGUCAAUAUCGGUUUAUCAGUGAUGUGAUAUCCAGGGUGUUGCUUGUCUUUAUCUAUCUUUAUCUCUGGUUACGUGCAUCACGUGUUUUUCGAAAACUUGAGAAUAUUAAAAAUCCAUAUUAAUCGAUGCGAUAAAAUAAAUAUGAGUCAAAAUAUAAAAACCGUGCUUGUGCCUCAGUGGUAUGAUGUGUCUUCAAGACGGUAAUUACGGUAUAAUUAUGGCUUAAAACCCCGCAAACAUGUAAAGGUGAUACCGCUGUUCUGGACUUGAAGCAUUGAAGGUGCUAGGGAUCACCAGAUCUCCAGAUCCAGUGAGAAAACCACACAC